GGGGUUGCUCAACAGUGGGAAGAAACGGCUCCUCUGUUUCCAACACACCCACAGGCAUCUGGGUUCAUUGUGACAGGGCACAAAACUUGUGCCUUCCUAUGAGCAAUACCCUACACGG
rnacentral:snoRNA from 1 species